rnacentral:rRNA from 1 species
UACGGAGGGGGCGAGCGUUAUUCGGAAUUAUUGGGCGUAAAGGGCGCGUAGGCGGCUGUACAAGUCAAAGGUGAAAUCCCUCGGCUCAACUGAGGAACUGCCUUUGAAACUGUACGGCUUGAGGCCGGGAGGGGGUAGCGGAAUUCCCAGUGUAGCGGUGAAAUGCGUAGAUAUCCGGAGGAACACCGGUGGCGAAGGCGGCUUCCUGGACCGACACUGACGCUGAGGCGCGAAAGCUAGGGGAGCAAACGGG